rnacentral:rRNA from 1 species
GGCUUAGAGUUUGAUCAUGGCUCAGGAUGAACGCUGGCGGCGUGCUUAACACAUGCAAGUCGAACGGAGAACCCUUGACGGAGUUUUCGGACAACGGAUAGGAAUUCUUAGUGGCGGACGGGUGAGUAACGCGUGAGGAACCUGCCUUGGAGAGGGGAAUAACACAGAGAAAUUUGUGCUAAUACCGCAUAAUGCAGUUGGGUCGCAUGGCUCUGACUGCCAAAGAUUUUAUCGCUCUGAGAUGGCCUCGCGUCUGAUUAGCUAGUUGGUGGGGCAACGGCCCACCAAGGCGACGAUCAGUAGCCGGACUGAGAGGUUGACCGGCCACAUUGGGACUGAGACACGGCCCAGACUCCUACGGGAGGCAGCAGUGGGGAAUAUUGGGCAAUGGGCGCAAGCCUGACCCAGCAACGCCGCGUGAAGGAAGAAGGCUUUCGGGUUGUAAACUUCUUUUAUUAAGGACGAAGCAAUGACGGUACUUAAUGAAUAAGCUCCGGCUAACUACGUGCCAGCAGCCGCGGUAAUACGUAGGGAGCAAGCGUUAUCCGGAUCUACUGGGUGUAAAGGGCGUGUAGGCGGGAGUGCAAGUCAGAUGUGAAAACUAUGGGCUCAACCCAUAGCCUGCAUUUGAAACUGUACUUCUUGAGUACUGGAGAGGCAGGC